rnacentral:rRNA from 1 species
AGUGAACGCUGGCGGUAGGCCUAACACAUGCAAGUCGAACGGCAGCACAGUAAGAGCUUGCUCUUACGGGUGGCGAGUGGCGGACGGGUGAGGAAUACAUCGGAAUCUACUUUUUCGUGGGGGAUAACGUAGGGAAACUUACGCUAAUACCGCAUACGACCUACGGGUGAAAGCAGGGGAUCUUCGGACCUUGCGCGAUUGAAUGAGCCGAUGUCGGAUUAGCUAGUUGGCGGGGUAAAGGCCCACCAAGGCGACGAUCCGUAGCUGGUCUGAGAGGAUGUUCGGCCCCACUGGACCUGGGCCACGCUCCAGACUCCUACGGGAGGCGGCAGUGGGGAAUAUUGGACAAUGGGCGCAAGCCUGCUCCAGCCAUACCGCGUGGGUGAAGAAGGCCUUCGGGUUGUAAAGCCCUUUUGUUGGGAAAGAAAAGCAGCAGGUUAAUACCCCGCUGUUCUGACGGUACCCAAAGAAUAAGCACCGGCUAACUUCGUG